GAGAACCUGUUUUUGCUUUAGAAAGGAGCUUUUAGGUAUAUCAUAUGUAACUCUAAUCUUUGCACACAUCUGCAAUUUUAGAUUCGAAAAGAUCAUACAAUACAAAAAAAUUAACAAACACUAAUAUAUGUUUGGUCAUCAAUCAAUCUUUUUUUUUUUAAAGAAAAAAACAUGAAUAGAAUAUAAAUAUGUGAAUACAUUAAAAUUUAUACAGUAUGAAUUAUUAAUAUAUAAACUUAUAAUUAUACGAUAUAAACAGAUGAUACAAAUAUACAGAUGUAAAGACUUACCCACACGCUUUGAGCCAUUGGUCAUCAAUCAAUCAUUAUCUUGGAAAAAGUCCACCACCACCACCACCAAAAUGGCACAAUCCAGUGCUAGCCGCCCCAAAAGUAAACGCUUCACUGGGAAUUCUUAUUUUUCAUCAUAAACAAUAAUAACACCCCAACAAAGCCCCUUUGCCUUCUUUUUGUCUUUGUUGUUUCUCUUUUUUCUUGUUAAGACUGACCAUUAUAACAAUAUAAUAUAAUUAUAAUAAACAACUAAAACGUCACUCAGGAAA
rnacentral:lncRNA from 1 species